CUUAUGCUGUGCUGAGAUGCAGGAUCCGAGAGGUAAAGAGACAGGACACUGAAGAACUGGUGAAGAGCAUCUGGACUCGGGGGGCCAUGCCACCUGUGAGUGGAGAUCAGCGGCGACCCCCAAAUGCCCAGGAGCAUCUGUAUUUAUUAGGGCUCUUGUGGACUCAG